GUGCCAGCAGCCGCGGUAAUACGUAGGAGCGCAAGCGUUAUCCGGAAUUAUUGGGCGUAAAGAGCUCGUAGGCGGUUUGUCGCGUCUGCCGUGAAAGUCCGGGGCUCAACCCCGGAUCUGCGGUGGGUACGGGCAGACUAGAGUGAUGUAGGGGAGACUGGAAUUCCUGGUGUAGCGGUGAAAUGCGCAGAUAUCAGGAGGAACACCGAUGGCGAAGGCAGGUCUCUGGGCAUUAACUGACGCUGAGGAGCGAAAGCAUGGGGAGCGAACAGGAUUAGAUACCCUGGUAGUCC
rnacentral:rRNA from 1 species